UUGAACGCUGGCGGAAUGCUUUACACAUGCAAGUCGAGCGGCAGCGCGGGGGCAACCCUGGCGGCGAGCGGCGAACGGGUGAGUAACAUAUCGGAACGUACCCUAUCGUGGGGGAUAGCACAUCGAAAGAUGUGCUAAUACCGCAUACGACCUGAGGGUGAAAGCAGGGGAUCGCAAGACCUUGCGCGACAGGAGCGGCCGAUAUCGGAUUAGCUAGUUGGUGAGGUAAAGGCUCACCAAGGCGACGAUCCGUAGCUGGUCUGAGAGGACGACCAGCCACACUGGAACUGAGACACGGUCCAGACUCCUACGGGAGGCAGCAGUGGGGAAUUUUGGACAAUGGGGGCAACCCUGAUCCAGCCAUUCCGCGUGAGUGAAGAAGGCCUUCGGGUUGUAAAACUCUUUCGGCAGGAACGAAACGGUGAGCUCUAACAUAGCUUGCUAAUGACGGUACCUGAAGAAGAAGCACCGGCUAACUACGU
rnacentral:rRNA from 1 species